CUUGUAUAGGCAUAUCCACAGUGCUCUUUGGAAGGGAGUUCCAGAUAUCUGACUGAGUGACAGUGAAGGAAUACUUUAACUCCAAGGCAUGAUGAUGUGUGACUUGAAGGGCAUGAGUUGGAGUCCAGGAAAGACAAAGUGAUGAAAGGUUGUUCCUGCUGCCUUUAUGUAAGUCUUGUGCAUUAAAAAGAUUUUGUGCAGUUCCAAGUUACUCUUGGAUAUGCAUUCCCAACACAAAGAUGCCUCUAAUUCAUCACAUCUCCUCAGUAUAUAAUUGGCAAGAGGGCUCAAGAUAAUGGGUCUUUCCCUUUUGAACUUUUGCAACAGCUACCUCAAUCAUCAGUGCAUCCCUCAGGCCUGAACUUUGGAAUGGGACAGUCUGUAACACUCAGUCAUCAACAGUAGAGGAAAACCAGCAAAGUUAAGGCAAACCAAACAGCAGCUUUCAACAAUCUGAUGGCUCACCAGCUAAAGGUCUGGGCAAAAGCCAGACUGGAGACCAGAUUAUAGUGUGAGGCAUUUGUAUAUUGGCUUUAAGCUGUUAAAGAUAUC